UCCGGGAGCGCGCGCGGCUGGGAACACUGUGGGGGAAGGGAAUCGGGGAGGAGCCGAAGGAGAAACGAGAUGUUUGAACAUUUGUAGAUCUAAACGACCCUCUAGAGGAUUCCAUCGGGAAAGCUGCAGGCUGAUCCUCCCCGGGGACUCGUUCGGAUACACGGGAGCUCAGAGAGUGCACAACUCCGCAGAACGCAGCACCGCGGUUCAGCCUCUUUCACGGGGAACCUCUGCCGGAGGGGCUCCAACAUGGCAACCCAAGAUGCACAGACUCUAGUACACACCGAUACUCAGGCGUUCCCCGCCCCCUUACUUUGCCAAGCACUCUGCCCUUUCUGCACAAAAGGAGUUGGACGGGAACGCCCUCAACCACCAAACCUAUACUCCUACCUGCGGCUGCUCCACCCUCCACCCUCCAGACCAGGAAGGUGUAGGUCUCUACUGCUGCAACAAUGUUCUACCCUAGAGCUCCCCUCCCACCUCUGCUGCAGUCUGGCAAGUCUAAAAUUGUUUUGGUUACUGGGGCGUCAACUUCUUCCCACCCUCUUCUGCUUCUGUUAGGUCUCUCUUUGCACAGACGGUUUAAAUGUAGGACUCUACAUCUAAAUGAGUGAGAAUAUAUGGACUGCCUAGGACGUACGGAUAAUAUUUUAUAUAUUUUAUUUAAUUCUCAAGCUACCCUUCUUGAGGAUAAAUGCUAUUGAAGAAGUAACAAUGGCCACUGCAGAAGUCGGAGGGAAAGGGUAGCUCAAAUGUGUGGCUCAGAUUCAGACUUUAAGAACUACUAUCGUCACAGUCCUUCAGACAGCUUUCCCUGGCUUCAGAUCUUGAUAAAGAAGGAGGGUCUGUCCCCAGCAGCUCUGCCUCUCUGCCAGUGAGCUGUAGGCAGAACUCAGCGUCCUUGGAAACAGAGGACAAACUCCUUCAGCUCUAUUAUGUGUAAGGCCCUAUUCCUCCCACGCUCACCUCAUAAGCAGUUAAGGUCAAUGGUGCAGGCUUUACCCAACCAACCCCAAGUCUGUAUCCAGCGCAGCCAGACACUCAGCAGCAGAACUGAAUGUGGAGAGCAAGAUGGGGAGAGAGUAGAAUGCUGGCUGCAGAAUAAGGGAGGGCAGCUUUUAGCAGGACCUUUAGCACUUGCUGCUCACACAGUCUCAGGGUAAGAAGCUAUUUAUCUUUCUUCUGGACCACCCAUUUGUGUGUAGGAAGUCUCCAGGUGUGGAGACCACCCUUCUGAGUUGAGAUCAGCCUUCUCCUGCCAUUCCCUUACCCAAUUUUAUCUCAGUUCUGCCUCAAAGGGUAUAAGUGGUAAAUCUUGCCCUCACCAUUGGCAAAUUAGUGGGCAAGGAAGAGAUCUCUGCCAGGUCUGUGCCCCUCUGCUCUGCCUUGCUUGGUGAUAAUGAAUAAACCUCCAUGCUUCUC